rnacentral:rRNA from 1 species
UACAGAGGUCUCAAGCGUUGUUCGGAUUCAUUGGGCGUAAAGGGUGCGUAGGCGGCGCGGUAAGUCGGGUGUGAAAUCUCGGAGCUUAACUCCGAAACUGCAUUCGAUACUGCCGUGCUUGAGGACUGGAGAGGAGACUGGAAUUUACGGUGUAGCGGUGAAAUGCGUAGAUAUCGUAAGGAAGACCAGUGGCGAAGGCGGCUCUCUGGACCGAGACUGACGCUGAGGCGCGAAAGCGUGGGGAGCAAACAGG